rnacentral:tRNA from 1 species
GGAGAACAGAAUACGUCCGGAAACGCGCGGUCAGUCUCGAAAACCGGAGUAGGGGCAACUCUACCGGGGGUUCAAAUCCCCCCUCUCUCCGCCA